GCGGAUGUAGCCAAGUGGAUCAAGGCAGUGGAUUUGA
rnacentral:tRNA from 1 species